GUAGGGAAUAUUGGUCAAUGGACGAAAGUCUGAACCAGCCAUUCCGCGUGCAGGAAGAAGAUUCUAUGGAUUGUAAACUGCUUUUAGCAGAGAAGAAACGCCUUCAUUGAUGAGGGUUUGACGGUAUCUGAGGAAUAAGCACCGGCUAACUCCGUGCCAGCAGCCGCGGUAAUACGGGGGGUGCAAGCGUUAUCCGGAAUCACUGGGAUUAAAGGGUGCGUAGGCGGGAAAUUAAGUCAGUGGUGAAAGUCUGUUGCUUAACGGUAGAAUUGCCGUUGAUACUGAUUUUCUUGAAUUGGGUUGAGGUUACCGGAAUGUGACAUGUAGCGGUGAAAUGCAUAGAUAUGUCAUGGAACACCAAUUGCGAAGGCAGCUAGCUGGGCCUUGAUUGACGCUGAGGCACGAAAGCGUGGGUAGCGAACAGGAUUAGAAACCCGAGUAGUCC
rnacentral:rRNA from 1 species